rnacentral:rRNA from 1 species
GCAAACAGGAUUAGAUACCUUGGUAGUCCACGCUGUAAACGAUGUCGAUUUGGAGAGUUGUGCCCUUGAGGCGUGGCUUCCGGAGCUAACGCGUUAAAUCGACCGCCUGGGGAGUACGGCCGCAAGGUUAAAACUCAAAUGAUAUUGACGGGGGCCCGCACAAGCGGUGGAGCAUGUGGUUUAAUUCGAUGCAACGCGAAGAACCUUACCUACUCUUGACAUCCAGAGAACUUUCCAGAGAUGGAUUGGUGCCUUCGGGAACUCUGAGACAGGUGCUGCAUGGCUGUCGUCAGCUCGUGUUGUGAAAUGUUGGGUUAAGUCCCGCAACGAGCGCAACCCUUAUCCUUUGUUGCCAGCGGUUCGGCCGGGAACUCAAAGGAGACUGCCAGUGAUAAACUGGAGGAAGGUGGGGAUGACGUCAAGUCAUCAUGGCCCUUACGAGUAGGGCUACACACGUGCUACAAUGGCGUAUACAAAGAGAAGCGACCUCGCGAGAGCAAGCGGACCUCAUAAAGUACGUCGUAGUCCGGAUUGGAGUCUGCAACUCGACUCCAUGAAGUCGGAAUCGCUAGUAAUCGUAGAUCAGAAUGCUACGGUGAAUACGUUCCCGGGCCUU